rnacentral:rRNA from 1 species
GCAAGUCGAGGGGUAACAUUGGAGCUUGCUUCAGAUGACGACCGGCGCACGGGUGCGUAACGCGUAUAGAAUCUACCUUACACUGAGGGAUAGCCUUUGGAAACGAAGAUUAAUACCUCAUAGUAUAUUAACUUGGCAUCAAGAUAAUAUUAAAGGUUACGGUGUAAGAUGACUAUGCGUUCUAUUAGCUAGAUGGUAAGGUAACGGCUUACCAUGGCAACGAUAGGUAGGGGCCCUGAGAGGGGGAUC